rnacentral:rRNA from 1 species
GGUGAACGCUGGCGGCGUGCUUAAGACAUGCAAGUCGAACGGCAGUCUUCGGACUGUAGUGGCGCACGGGUGAGUAACGCGUAACUGACCUACCCCAAAGUCGCGGAUAACGAUUCGAAAGAAUCGCUAAUACGUGAUGUGCUGUCAGCUUGUGUUCUGCCAGUAAAGAUUGAUUGCUUUGGGAUGGGGUUGCGUUCCAUCAGCUAGUUGGUGGGGUAAAGGCCCACCAAGGCGACGACGGAUAGCCGGCCCGAGAGGGUGGCCGGCCACAGGGGCACUGAGACACGGGUCCCACUCCUACGUGAGGCAGGAGUUAGGAAACUUCCACAAUGGGCGAAAGCCUGAGGGAGCGAAGCCGCGUGAGGGAUGAAGGUCUUCGGAUCGUAAACCUCUGAAUCAGGGACGAAAGACACUUCGGUGGGAUGACGGUACCUGAGUAAUAGCACCGGCUAACUCCGUGCCAGCCGCCGCAGUAAAAC